GCGCAUGCUCAUCUGCAGAAACGCUGCUUGGCCUUUGGACUACCCCAUCUGUCGCUCUAACGAGCCGGCCUCGCCGCCAGGGGACGCUUGGGCCGCAGGAAGGUCGCUGGGUCGUGAGCUGGCGCCGGGGACGCCAAGCGACUGCGGGGCUUCCCUCAGCGUCCUGCUAUCCGGCUGCCCGCCGCGCUCCCUGGUAGUGUCCGUGGGCGCGCAGGCCUUGAAGAACCUCCUCGCGGCGGGCCGCCGAGCGCAGGAGAGGUGUCAAAGCGCUGGCGCGUCUCCAGAGCCCCGGGAGGAAGGCUGUAACGGCAGCCCCAUUGUAGACAGGGACAUUCGCAUCCCGAGCCCUGGAUCUCUGAAAAGCAGCCCAGAAUUUGGAAGCUGGAAGGAACUUUAGAUCGUCCAUUCUGGGUGUCUCUCUUCGUUGGCGUUUUCCCACUGAGGUUAUGUAAACAUGAAGAGGAGCCUACAAGUGUCAAGGAAAAAACGACAGCUAACCACAGGGCAGGCCAUGGCCAAGAUAGCUCAGUGUUCUCCGCUCUCAUAGGUCAGGUGAGACUCACUUAGGCUGGACUGCAAUGGUGCAAUCUCGGCUCACUGCAACCUCCGCCUCUCGGGUUCAAGCCAUUCUCCUGCCUCAGCCUUCCGAAUCGCUGGGAUUACAGGUCACAACCCCCAGGAGACCUGGAGAACUGAAUGCUGCUGCCCCCAAGGAGGAGGCUGCUGUCUUAUCCCAGGAGGGAGAGCAGGUGAAGUCCCCAGGGGAGGAAGCACCUAGCCCCAUUCCUGCUGAGCAGGAGGUGGCAGGUACCCCAGACUGGGAGGUAAGGACAGCCCGGGGCUUCAACUGGAACGUCUCCAGCCUGGGUCCGACUGAGCAGCCAUGGAGCAUUGCAGAGUGGGAGGCAGCAGGGCAGGGAGGCAGUGCUGGAGGCUGGCUCAACCCCAAGACCAGCAGGCCAAGCUGCCAUCCCAGGGGAGCCGGGACGUCUGUGCAGAGCUGAGAGGCAGCAGCCAUGUGUGAACAGACUGGCCUCAUCCUGGCCCCCCCCGACUUCUUGUGGACAGAGCCUGUUUCCCUGUCUGUGCAACACAGAACCUGCCUGAUCUCACUGCUGGAUCCCUCUUCUUCCUGCCAGGAAAAUAAAAAGGUUCAAAAGGAAGUUGCUGCGUAUCCAUCUGAGGCCUCUGAGGACAGCAAAGAGCAAAGGCCCUGGGAGCGGGUCUCCGUACCCAUGACAGAGCUCUGGCUGGACUGGUUCUCAGCCUCUAACACCCCCAACACUCAGAACCGUGAAGAAAAACUUUCCAAUAAAUCCAAGAGUUGCUGCUGCCAUAGGCCAGGCUGCCGCCUUUCGGGACCUCCGUCUUCAGAGAAACCCAGCCUGGCUUCAUCCACACUCCCUGUCCCCACAGCUGCAGGAACAGCACUUCCUGCCACCGAGCCGUGUGACCACAGUGGAUUGUCUCCGGAGGGGCCCAAGGGGGCCCUGGCCACCCUUCUGACUCGGUGCCAGGGGACAGACCAACGUCCCUCUCGUGCUGACAGCCGGGCCGCACCCUGGCGUGAGGGCAUUUACAGAAAUGCUGGCGGAACUGCUGCCAGGGAGGCUGUAGGGUCCUCUGGCAAAAGAGGCCUCAGGUGGCUCCUCAGAGCGUCUGUGGUUCUCUAUCCCAGGCUGUUCCCUAAGAAGGUCUGCCCAGGACUCAGGUCACAACCCCCAGGAGACCUGGAGAACUGAAUGCUGCUGCCCCCAAGGAGGAGGCUGCUGUCUUAUCCCAGGAGGGAGAGCAGGUGAAGUCCCCAGGGGAGGAAGCACCUAGCCCCAUUCCUGCUGAGCAGGAGGUGGCAGGUACCCCAGACUGGGAGGUAAGGACAGCCCGGGGCUUCAACUGGAACGUCUCCAGCCUGGGUCCGACUGAGCAGCCAUGGAGCAUUGCAGAGUGGGAGGCAGCAGGGCAGGGAGGCAGUGCUGGAGGCUGGCUCAACCCCAAGACCAGCAGGCCAAGCUGCCAUCCCAGGGGAGCCGGGACGUCUGUGCAGAGCUGAGAGGCAGCAGCCAUGUGUGAACAGACUGGGCCUCAUCCUGGCCCCCCCCCGACUUCUUGUGGACAGAGCCUGUUUCCCUGUCUGUGCAACACAGAACCUGCCUGAUCUCACUGCUGGAUCCCUCUUCUUCCUGCCAGGAAAAUAAAAAGGUUCAAAAGGAAGUUGCUGCGUAUCCAUCUGAGGCCUCUGAGGACAGCAAAGAGCAAAGGCCCUGGGAGCGGGUCUCCGUACCCAUGACAGAGCUCUGGCUGGACUGGUUCUCAGCCUCUAACACCCCCAACACUCAGAACCGUGAAGAAAAACUUUCCAAUAAAUCCAAGAGUUGCUGCUGCCAUAGGCCAGGCUGCCGCCUUUCGGGACCUCCGUCUUCAGAGAAACCCAGCCUGGCUUCAUCCACACUCCCUGUCCCCACAGCUGCAGGAACAGCACUUCCUGCCACCGAGCCGUGUGACCACAGUGGAUUGUCUCCGGAGGGGCCCAAGGGGGCCCUGGCCACCCUUCUGACUCGGUGCCAGGGGACAGACCAACGUCCCUCUCGUGCUGACAGCCGGGCCGCACCCUGGCGUGAGGGCAUUUACAGAAAUGCUGGCGGAACUGCUGCCAGGGAGGCUGUAGGGUCCUCUGGCAAAAGAGGCCUCAGGUGGCUCCUCAGAGCGUCUGUGGUUCUCUAUCCCAGGCUGUUCCCUAAGAAGGUCUGCCCAGGACUCAGGUAAUCAUAUGCUCAUUAGAAACUCUUGGGCACUGCCUGUGUGCCCAGCCCAGCCCAUUAUGUCAGUGAGGACUGACGUGGAGGACAGCGGUCCCUGCCUUUGGUUGGGGCUCCAGGCCAGCAAGGGCCACAGCCCCAGAAGGCAGAGCAGGAAGACAGGACUCAUGGCAGCUGAAGCAGCCU
rnacentral:antisense_RNA from 1 species